rnacentral:rRNA from 1 species
UACGAAGGGGGCUAGCGUUGCUCGGAAUUAUUGGGCGUAAAGCGCACGUAGGCGGCAUUGCAAGUCGGAUGUGAAAUCCCUCGGCUUAACCAAGGAAGUGCGUCCGAAACUGCAGUGCUUGAGUACUUAAGAGGAUCGCGGAAUUCCCGGUGUAGAGGUGAAAUUCGUAGAUAUCGGGAGGAACACCAGUGGCGAAGGCGGCGAUCUGGGAAGAUACUGACGCUGAGGUGCGAAAGCGUGGGGAGCAAACAGG